rnacentral:rRNA from 1 species
AUUGAACGCUGGCGGCAUGCCUUACACAUGCAAGUCGAACGGUAACAGGUCUUCGGAUGCUGACGAGUGGCGAACGGGUGAGUAAUACAUCGGAACGUGCCCGAGAGUGGGGGAUAACGAGGCGAAAGCUUUGCUAAUACCGCAUACGAUCUCAGGAUGAAAGCAGGGGACCGCAAGGCCUUGCGCCCACGGAGCGGCCGAUGGCAGAUUAGGGAGUUGGUGGGAUAAAAGGUUACCAAGCCGACGAUCUGUAGCUGGUCUGAGAGGACGACCAGGCACACUGGAACUGAGACACGGCCCAGACUCCUACGGGAGGCAGCAGUGGGGAAGUUUGGACAAUGGGCGCAAGCCUGAUCCAGCCAUGCCGCGUGCAGGAUGAAGGCCUUCGGGUUGUAAACUGCUUUUGUACGGAACGAAAAGACUCUGGUUAAUACCUGGGGUCCAUGACGGUACCGUAAGAAUAAGCACCGGCUAACUACGUGCCAGCCGCCGCGGUAAGAC